rnacentral:rRNA from 1 species
UGGGGAAUUUUGGACAAUGGGCGAAAGCCUGAUCCAGCAAUGCCGCGUGUGUGAAGAAGGCCUUCGGGUUGUAAAGCACUUUUGUCCGGAAAGAAAUCCUUGGCUCUAAUACAGUCGGGGGAUGACGGUACCGGAAGAAUAAGCACCGGCUAACUACGUGCCAGCAGCCGCGGUAAUACGUAGGGUGCAAGCGUUAAUCGGAAUUACUGGGCGUAAAGCGUGCGCAGGCGGUUUGCUAAGACCGAUGUGAAAUCCCCGGGCUCAACCUGGGAACUGCAUUGGUGACUGGCAGGCUAGAGUAUGGCAGAGGGGGGUAGAAUUCCACGUGUAGCAGUGAAAUGCGUAGAGAUGUGGAGGAAUACCGAUGGCGAAGGCAGCCCCCUGGGCCAAUACUGACGCUCAUGCACGAAAGCGUGGGGAGCAAACAGGAUUAGAUACCCUGGUAGUCCACGCCCUAAACGAUGUCAACUAGUUGUUGGGGACUUCAUUUUCCUUAGUAACGUAGCUAACGCGUGAAGUUGACCGCCUGGGGAGUACGGUCGCAAGAUUAAAACUUAAAUGAAUUGACGGGGUCAUAGCUGUUUCCU